CAUGCCAAAAACAAUGCAUUCUGGCAUUUAGACAUGAGGAAAGUGGGAUUAAAGUCGCUUUGAACGUUGCUUGGUUGUUGGGGAUAGAUGGACUGGGCUGAAUAUCUCAGAAACUAAUUGGUUUUUCACACACAGCCAUUGUCCGGUUUACAGAGAUUGAAGAAAGAAACUAUUCCAUGAACAAUGAUUCCGAGGACAGAAAAGCAUCGUUUAUUUCAGAGGUCAGAGGAGAACGGUUGGAAUGGGCCAAUAUGAUAGAAAGACAACAGUCAAUCAAAAACCUACUGUCAUAAUGGAGCGUUUCUUUAGACUCGGAGGAGAAAACAACCACAAUUUUAGGGUAGCGUUUUAACAGAUUUAUUUGCGAAGGAAAAUGAACGGAGGCAAGACAGGAAUCCAGACAGCGACAGCAAGGGGAAUGGUUCUUCUCUGGAAAAGAAGGCGACAGGUUAUGGAUGAUCCAGGAGAAUUGGAAGGUGUUUUUUUUUGGAAGAUUUAUACAGGGACUUACAGCCAGAGUGAUGAUGGUUCUGCUGGGGAGGAUAGUCCUUCCUCUGUGGUGGAGGUUGGCAAGAUGUGUGAGGGCUUCCUUGCAGACAUCAAGCAGUGACUGACAGUUGAGCGUGUCCACCACAAAGAGAAUGAGGAAGGAUUAUAUACAAAGGCAAAGACCUGGGCACAUCCAAACUCAGCCAUUCAUGUAAUCUCUUUUUUCUCACAGUUCUUUCUGAGUAAAAAGAACUGUGAAAGUUAAGUUGUCUGGUUUCCCUUUAAUAACUUAAUGCAACAGCAAGUCAUGGCCUUUCUGUUUUGCUCAGGAAAUCCAGUAGAAAUGAUCUUAAUAAAAGCUCAUGUAUAACACAAAA